UGAAGGGUUUGCUUUGCUCCACAACGUUAUACAAUAUCGUUAAAUGAAGGAGAAUGCAUGAAACAGUUACAGAAUCUAAACUAUUUUUAUUGUGCAAACUGCAAAGUAGCAAAAUAAAAGCAAACCGUAUGAAGACCUA